rnacentral:precursor_RNA from 1 species
GGAAAACCUUGUGGUUGACUCCGCAACCUAUGUCCUUCUCACACGUCUAUGUCAGAGCUUGGAUAAUCAACUCUUAUCACCUGCAGAUAAUCAUGGAAAGAGAAACCAAUCGAGGAGACAAGCUGACAUUUGCAUACUAGCAUCAGGCAUUACCUUGUAAAAGCAAAUCAAGAACAGAACAGAACAGAAGAAACCGAAGAAUCAUCGAGGUACACAUCCAUUCAGGGUCAGUCAGUCCUAUGUUCAGGGGAGAUGACACCUGCAUCAAACGGACCAUCAAUUCAUCAUGGCACAAGACCAAGAACGAAUUCCAGCGAUGUCGGUGUCAUCUCUCCUGAUCACAGGGCCCAAACCCCCCACAAGAACACACAUCCUCCCCUCAUCUCUGCAGACGGCAGAUAUACAUAGCGCACUCUAUGUCUCUAUCUACUAUGUUCUUCCUGCUCUCUGA